rnacentral:rRNA from 1 species
UACGAAGGGGGCUAGCGUUGCUCGGAAUCACUGGACGUAAAGCGCACGUAGGCGGAUCGUUAAGUCAGGGGUGAAAUCCUGGAGCUCAACUCCAGAACUGCCUUUGAUACUGGCGACCUUGAGUUCGGGAGAGGUGAGUGGAACUGCGAGUGUAGAGGUGAAAUUCGUAGAUAUUCGCAAGAACACCAGUGGCGAAGGCGGCUCACUGGCCCGGUACUGACGCUGAGGUGCGAAAGCGUGGGGAGCAAACAGG